rnacentral:tRNA from 1 species
GGUAUUGCGCCGGGCUUUGAACGGAUAACUCUGAUGACGUUAAACACGAGGAUAAUUUCCCUCCAAUACC